UGCCUCGUGGGGUAAUUGGUAACCCACCGGAGUUUGGUUCCGGGAAUUCAGGUUCGAGUCCUGCCGAGGCAG
rnacentral:tRNA from 1 species